CCUGUAGCUCAGUUGGAUAGAGCAGCGGCCUUCUAAGCCGCGGGUCGGGGGUUCGAACCCCUCCAGG
rnacentral:tRNA from 1 species